rfam:Triticum aestivum genome assembly, contig: Triticum_aestivum_CS42_TGACv1_scaffold_129283_2BL
AUUUUACUCCCUUCGUUGCACAAUACAUGCCUUCUAUUUGUCAAAAUAUAUAUGUAUCUAGACAUGUUUUAGUAUAUAGGUACAUCCAUUUUUGGACAAAUGGAAGUCAAGUAUUUUGGAACGGAGGGAGUACACA